CAGGAGCAACAUUUCCACCCUUGCUGUAGAUUUUGUUGCGGCAUCUCAUCAACGAACAUGAAGCUGUUUCUCCUGAUUGUUCUUGUCACUCUGUUGACUACAGAAUGUGUCGUUGCAAACUUGGGAAAUAUGAAUCUGGCCCCUACCGUGUAUGCAACAGCAUCAGUAACAGAUUCUCAUAAGUUUGGUUUCGCAAGCGGUCUGAGGAGGCGAAGUGUAUCAAGUUCUGGCACUGAAUGAUGAGAUGGUGAGGAACGCGCAAUGUGCAUCAAAACCAAAAAUGCGCAAUAAAUCAUUCUUGUUCUGC